rnacentral:lncRNA from 13 species
GCAAGACUCUGCUCUCGCGAAGUUAACUUUUAAUUUUUUAUAGAAUGUUAAUAAGAUUUUUUAAAACCAAUAAUGCUUGAAAUAUAUAAUAAUUAGAAAUAAAAGAUGUUGUCAUUGUUUUGUAUUUGUUUUAGCAUUAACUCUGUGGAAAGAGGUACAGCAAAAACGCAAAAAGACACCAAACUCCGGGUCCGGGCUUCCAGAAGAUUUUCUCACCCGCACUUCCGCCUCCAAUCUGGAUAUAUUUUGACUGCGUUGUUUCUUCACUUUGAAGAGCAAUCGCAGAAUCAUUAGCCUCUUCAACGGAUCUUUGCGCCUCGGCUCGUUUCACAUCGUCCUCCGCAGCUGCAUGAGCGAUCUCUACGAUUACAUUGGUAAUCUCUGCAGUAUGUGCAUCUGGACUAAUUACUUCUUCUCCACCAGGUGCAUCUUCCGACGCUACAUCGGUGCUUUUCACAUCGAUAACUGGGACUGUAUUGUCAGCGCAAUCGAUCUUCGUUGCUUCAAUUGGAGGUGCAUCUCCACCGGCUGUGAGA